AUGAGCAUAAUGUUCUACUUCCUUAUUCUUCUGGAAGAUCAUCUUCAACGAGGGAUGCUUGCAAAAGAUAAUGGGUUCCUUGUUCCUGGUUUACCACUGUGUGGCGGAUUAUGCCUGGAAGUUGUUGUCUAUUCCUGGACUGUGCCUUGCAGUACAGACCUGAACCCUACUACGGUCUUGUUUAGAGCAGCUUCUUCUAUCAGGGUAUAAAGAACAAUUAACAAUAUCAGAAAGGAAAUGAAAGGACUUGUUGAUCAUUCUGUCUGACCUCUUGUUUCCCUGAAGGGGUGGAUUUUACAUUUUGUUCCAAAUCUAACCAUCAAAUUCUAAGAACCACUUCACAUUCCUGUUUGCUUUCUGGGACUGACACUGUGCAGGAAAGCCCAUGAAGCCAUGGAGAACUUCACAUUUAUUAUGCUUUAUUUUACAGUAUUACAGUAUGCACACGGUGUCUUGCAUUUGCCAUGAUGAAUAAAGUAACAAACUUCCAGGGAUAAUGAAACUUG
rnacentral:lncRNA from 1 species